UUACAUACCUGGACGGAGCCAAUGGGUGAUCAAGAAGGCCCAUGGCUUAGGUUGGUGACCUCCAUUGCACGUAUGGGAGGGGCGCCACCCUAAGGUCUCCCCAAGUGGGAGAGCCUACGUCGUAAUUUGUGGCAGUGGGGCCUGCAUUCGUGCGGCCCCUCC